GUUGGGAAGAGAAGAUUUAACUAACCUCUUGUCAGAUACUAUCGUGUUAGCUUCUGGAUUUGUGAUUUUUCUUGGAGCUCUUGGUCUGUCAACCUAAUCGCAGGGCACACAUGCACAGCUUAUAUUAACAUGCUCGCAUGUUCACUUCAAUUCCUCGAGUACAUGUUCGUAUUCAACUAUACCAUUCGUACCGCAAUCAAACAGAGACGAGGACAAGGGGAUGAUGGCAUCGAACGAGGAAGAACAGCUGUCGAUGUACCAUCAGCAUUAUUUUAUAUGCUCCGUGCUAUACUGAUAUGCGACGAGGACUAGCUGCUCUCAAAGUUAGGGAAAUAAUUAUUGCACAAGGUGGUGGUUUAACAUGAUAGAGCAAUUUACAUAUUCUGCAGCAUGUGAUAUCUGCUCUGACCAAACAUAGAAUAGCUGGCUGUAUCAUGUGGGCAAGUAACCUGUAGUUCCAAGAACCACGACAUGGUAACAUCGGUAUGUACUUUGCUUUGCUCUCCCUGGUCUCGAUUGAAACAACAUAACAUUAAAAUACUACUUCUUUGCA
rnacentral:lncRNA from 1 species